CCUACGGGGUGCUGCAGUGGGGAAUAUUGGACAAUGGGCGAAAGCCUGUUCCAGCCAUGCCGCGUGUGUGAAGAAGGCCUUCGGGUUGUAAAGCACUUUCAGUGGGGAAGAAAGCCUUGGGGCUAAUACCCUCGAGGAAGGACAUCACCCACAGAAGAAGCACCGGCUAACUCCGUGCCAGCAGCCGCGGUAAUACGGAGGGUGCGAGCGUUAAUCGGAAUUACUGGGCGUAAAGCGCGCGUAGGCGGUCUGAUAAGCCGGUUGUGAAAGCCCCGGGCUCAACCUGGGAACGGCAUCCGGAACUGUCAGGCUAGAGUGCAGGAGAGGAAGGUAGAAUUCCCGGUGUAGCGGUGAAAUGCGUAGAGAUCGGGAGGAAUACCAGUGGCGAAGGCGGCCUUCUGGACUGACACUGACGCUGAGGUGCGAAAGCGUGGGUAGCAAACAGGAUUAGAUACCCCAGUAGUC
rnacentral:rRNA from 1 species